CUGGAAAUUUUCCAGGAGGUGGUCUAUUUGCAACUGACAAAAGUCAAAAGUUUGUGGUGUUCCAAGAAUUGAAACAGGAUAUGUGCAUGGGUCCUGCUUCCUUCAAGGUCUGUCCAACUCCAUUUUGACUGGAAGUCACUCAUGAUCCCUUUCAGAAGGAAUUGUCAGCACAAACAAUGCAGAUUACAAGAUGAGAAAAUCCAAAACAAAGCACAUGCACAAACCUGCCAGUUCUGGAGGUUGGGGAGUCCAAGAUCAAGAUGCCAGCAGAUACGGUAUGUGAGAGCCUACUUCCUGGUUUAUAGAUGGCCAUCUUUUCACUGUGUUCUUUCUGCGUGAUG